GACGAACGCUGGCGGCGUGCCUAAUACAUGCAAGUAGAACGCUGAAGAGAGGAGCUUGCUCUUCUUGGAAGAGUUGCGAACGGGUGAGUAACGCGUAGGUAACCUGCCUUGUAGCGGGGGAUAACUAUUGGAAACGAUAGCUAAUACCGCAUAACAAUGGGUGACCCAUGUCAUUCAUUUGAAAGGGGCAACUGCUCCACUACAAGAUGGACCUGCGUUGUAUUAGCUAGUAGGUGAGGUAACGGCUCACCUAGGCGACGAUACAUAGCCGACCUGAGAGGGUGAUCGGCCACACUGGGACUGAGACACGGCCCAGACUCCUACGGGAGGCAGCAGUAGGGAAUCUUCGGCAAUGGGGGCAACCCUGACCGAGCAACGCCGCGUGAGUGAAGAAGGUUUUCGGAUCGUAAAGCUCUGUUGUAAGUCAAGAACGAGUGUGAGAGUGGAAAGUUCACACUGUGACGGUGGCUUACCAGAAAGGGACGGCUAACUACGUGCCAGCAGCCGCGGUAAUACGUAGGUCCCGAGCGUUGUCCGGAUUUAUUGGGCGUAAAGCGAGCGCAGGCGGUUUGAUAAGUCUGAAGUUAAAGGCUGUGGCUCAACCAUAGUUCGCUUUGGAAACUGUCAAACUUGAGUGCAGAAGGGGAGAGUGGAAUUCCAUGUGUAGCGGUGAAAUGCGUAGAUAUAUGGAGGAACACCGGUGGCGAAAGCGGCUCUCUGGUCUGUAACUGACGCUGAGGCUCGAAAGCGUGGGGAGCGAACAGG
rnacentral:rRNA from 1 species